rnacentral:rRNA from 1 species
AGAGUUUGAUCCUGGCUCAGAAUCAACGCUGGCGGCGUGCCUAACACAUGCAAGUCGAACGAGAAAGGGGAGCAAUCCCUGAGUAAAGUGGCGCACGGGUGAGUAACACGUGACUAACCUACCCUGGAGUGGGGGAUAACUGGGAGAAAUCCUAGCUAAUACCGCAUAACACCUACGGGUCAAAGGAGCAAUUCGCUUUGGGAGGGGGUCGCGGUCGAUUAGUUAGUUGGCGGGGUAAUGGCCCACCAAGACUGUGAUCGAUAUCCGGCCUGAGAGGGCGCACGGACACACUGGAACUGAAACACGGUCCAGACUCCUACGGGAGGCAGCAGUGGGGAAUUUUGCGCAAUGGGGGAAACCCUGACGCAGCAACGCCGCGUGGAGGAUGAAGUCCUUCGGGACGUAAACUCCUUUCGAUCGGGACGAUUAUGACGGUACCGGAAGAAGAAGCCCCGGCUAACUUCGUGCCAGCAGCCGCGGUAAUACGAGGGGGGCGAGCGUUGUUCGGAAUUAUUGGGCGUAAAGGGUGCGUAGGCGGUUUGGUAAGUCUUGUGUGAAAUCUACAGGCUCAACUUGUAGUCUGCACGAGAAACUGCCGGGCUUGAGUAUGGGAGAGGUGAGUGGAAUUCCUGGUGUAGCGGUGAAAUGCGUAGAUAUCAGGAGGAACACCUGUGGCGAAAGCGGCUCACUGGACCAUAACUGACGCUGAUGCACGAAAGCUAGGGGAGCAAACAGGAUUAGAUACCCUAGUAGUCC